AAAGAUUUGAAAAUAACAAAAAAUAUGUGUUUCACUUUUAAUUUAGUAUUUCUUAAUUAUAAUUGACAAUUAGCUGCUUAAUUUUUGUUAGUUGAAAAAAUAAUUAUAUUAUAUUAUAUUACAUUAUUGUAUAAAAAAAAACCUAAACCUACCCCAAUCACCACACUUAUCCCUUCUAAUUACCACAAUUCCACUACCCCAACACAUCCACACACACGUACAACACACCUCCACUUCCCCCCUCAAACUACACACUACACACACGAUACACGCCCACGCAUACUACGACUAUCUUUUACAUAUACCCAACAAUCAGAAGAGGAAAAAAAAUACAGACUACACACGCAAAAAGAAAAAAAUAUUCACAAUCUACAACAAUUUGCACAAGAAAAACCCACACUAAAAAAAAAGAAAAUCAGCAAAAAGGGACAACACUCAAAAAUUACCCACGCUGAAUAAUAAAAAAUUUAUGGGUGUUUUAAUCGAGCUUUGGUCAAAUCCAACGGAUAUAGGCUUGGAUUUGGAAUUUUGAGAUGACACCUAAAAAUUUGUAGAAGGAUCCAUCCAUGGAGAUGACCUACGGACCGUAGGUCCAGUCACUGUCCAUAGAUAGGUAGCAUAGAUAGAGAAUCAAGGAAGUCUGACUAAGAGUGGAAGUACAAAUGCAAGUCAUAGAUAGUAGAUUGACCCAUGGGCCAUCCUGCAUCCAUAAAAUGGUUCAGAGAAGUUGAAGUUGUAGUACCUGAUGAAAUUCCUAAAUAUGGAUCCACGGAAGAGGACCCACUGCACAUCCACCGAUUUUAUCAGGGAGUGAAGGUUCCAACCUCUGCAAGAAAAUUUUGUUAGUGUGGACCAACGGAGGUGACCUACGGACCGUAUGUCAAAGUCGUCGAUCAAAGCCGCGUCUAAAAAGUUUAUUUCUUUAUUGUGUUUCCUUUUUGUUUAGGACAUAUUUUUUAAUACAUAGGUUAUGUAAACCUCAUUUUUUGGGGUUAGACAUUAUUGUUUACUUUUAGUUCUUGAUAUUUUA